rnacentral:lncRNA from 1 species
GCGCAGGCGCAGCCGGGCCCCACUGCCUUCCCAGAGGUGGGAGGGACAGGGCCAGCGGAGCUGUCCUACCCCCCGCCCUGGCUGAAGACUGGCUCCUCACUCAGACAGCAGGAUGCCUGCUUUUUUCCACUCAGUUAUUUGGUUUGAGACAGGGUUCACUAUGUAGCUCAGGCCAGCCUUGAAUUCUCAACCCUCCUGCCUCAACCUCCCACGUGGUGGGAUAACAGGUAUGCGCUGCCGCGCCCAGCUAAAACGUUUUCCACAAUGCAAGAAAAGACUCGAAUUUCUGCUCCUGGAUAUUAUAGGGCUUUCGUGCUACUGCGGGAGAAGUGUGGACCCUCGGUCUGCACUUUUACGCUCUGGCCCUCUACAGCAGCCGCCUGCUGAUCCCGCUGCACGGCUCGAGUGCGGGCCUCAGGCCCACCGCAGACCUGCCGAAUUCCAAGCUGUCUUUUAGCGAGUUUCUAGCGAUGGGCCUGCGCUUUGAAGCGGGAGAAGCGCUGCUGAGCCGCCACGCUGUACCGGCUGCGCGCUGGA